GGGGUUGUGGUGCAGUGGUAGUGCGCUCGCUUUGUACGCGAGAAGUCUUGGAUUCGAUUCCCAGCAUCUUUA